rnacentral:tRNA from 1 species
GCCCCUGUAGCUCAGCUGGCAGAGCAGCUGACUCAUAAUCAGUUGGUCGCUGGUUCGAAUCCGGCCGGGGGCA